GGCUCGGUAGCUUAGUUGGUAAAGUGCUCUUCUAGCAUACAAGAGUCUUGGGUUUGAAUCCCAGCCGAGCAC
rnacentral:tRNA from 1 species